CAACUAUUAUUUUCUCUCUACACCGUGAAACACUUUGGAUAUCGAAUAAAUGCAAGUUGAUAUUCAGAUAAGCAUGCACUCACCCCGAGGACUAGGCUCCUCGACAUACAGAGGCGUUGUAGGAGUGACAAUACCAGAGUUAUUUGCUGAUAGCAGUGGAGAUCGCUCGUCUACCCCAUCAGUAUCAGCCAUGAUUACAGCCGCACAGCAGAGAAUGGAAACAGCGACUGAAGAGGGAAAAAAGCAGCACGCUGCCGACGGGGGAGGAGCUUAAGGCAGUCACAAGUGCCUUGCUCCAGCGAUUUUGCUUGCUUCAGCUAGUUUUCUGCAGCCUUGAGGUAUGAUAAUACCAGUACAAUCAGUUCCUGUCUCAGCAAGUCUGCACAAUUGACUUUUGCUCCACUAAACUGACCCUGAGCCCGCCAUGAGAAGCCUUAUGUAUGCAAAGAUAACCGGUGGAACAAGAUGGUCUGAAAAGAUUAAGGAACUAUAGCUUUAGUAACUUUUUUUAAGUAAAUUCCUUUGCCUGUAACCAAUCACGAUGUAGAAAAUAAGUGCCAUGCUGCCUGACUAAUGCAUGAUCAUUCCUUGUAUGGUAAUUGUUUGCACCUCUGAAAAAGUAUAAGAAUGUAUGUAGAUCAAUGUAUCUCAGAGACCACCAGGUCCGGGAUGUAGGUGCCUGGCUUGGUGCUCUCUCCUCGGAUCAAGUAAUAAAGAGA